CCUCCUCCUCCUCCUCCUCCUCCUCCUCUCCAACCUGUUUCCUUCAGUUCUGCCCGGCUGCCUCAGCUGAUUUAAUGACCACACAGAGCCGGAGCACGAAGAGGAGGAGGAGGAGGAGGAGGAGGAGGAGGAGG
rnacentral:miRNA from 1 species